GAGAAACAAAAAGCUGUCUCGUGGAGAGCGCUGGGGGGAGCCAUGGGGGAGUGCGUAUGCUGCGGGCCAGCCAGCGCUUAGUUGCGCGGCGCCCGUGGGUGCUCUGCCGGGAGCCCUCUGCUAAGGAGCUCUGCAUGUAGAACACACACACAGUGGAGACACGUAUGCACGUUUUUCUGGGUGCACAUAUGGUGCUUUGGGCUGGCGACGGCCCAGAGUGCAGCACGCAAAACACAAACAAAAGUGGAGUGUAGGAAACAGUCAGCAAAGAGACACGAGUUCUGGGGCAGUGCGCGAGCGCUGUGGCAGGACGAGUGAUAUACAAAUCUUCA
rnacentral:rRNA from 1 species